UACGAAGGGGGCUAACGUUGCUCGGAAUCACUGGGCGUAAAGGGCGUGUAGGCGGGAAGGAUAGUCAGAUGUGAAAGCCCUGGGCUCAACCCAGGAACUGCAUUUGAAACUCCCUUUCUUGAGUGUCGGAGAGGAAAGCGGAAUUCCUGGUGUAGAGGUGAAAUUCGUAGAUAUCUGGAGGAACACCGGUGGCGAAGGCGGCAUCCUGGACCAUGACUGACACUGAAAAGCGAAAGCCAGGGGAGCAAACGGG
rnacentral:rRNA from 1 species